GUCUUUUUCAGGUUGCGGCGGAGCCUGUGGGACGGAUCCCCGCCGUAACGCGAGGUUCCCCUGUACUGCUUUCUCUAGGGAUAUGCCAGCCAGGCAUCACAAGCUGGUUGGUUAUUCUGCACACAAUAUCUUUCCCCAUUUUCAGCAGAGGGCUCUGGUCCAUCUUGGGAUUCUGCAAUUUAGCCUCUUUGGAAAGGUCAGCUUUGGAAUUUAGCCUAUUAAUCAAACUAUGGACAAUUCAUUGCAGGCAAAGUGGGAAUUUAAUUGGAGACUUAACCAGAGGAAACACGGUGUAUCCUUUUAAGCUCGCAAAGCUUAUCAUUGAUAGAAACGCUAAAAGAAAUCACGAGUCAUUGCUAGCAGAUUCCCCCGAUCAAAUGGAGAAAACGACAUAGUGUGUGUUUGGGAAGAGACAAAAUGCGGGGCGGGGGGGGGGGGAGAGACAACAAACCAUUUAGAGAGCACUUAAUUUGUAAACAAGCACACUUUGUGGAACUCUCUGGACAGCAUUCAAGAGCAUAGUAACAGAUUCUUUUGCAGCAAAAAUUUGGAGAUUUUCACCAUUGACCUUAAGCAGUCCCAGGCAGUAAUUUAAAAUACUUUAUUACCAUGGCAGAAACCCAGGGUGCAAUUCAGCCAUAAAGAUAACUUUAAAGUCUCGCUGAAUUCAGCGAGAGAGAUAAAGAUGUGCUUAAAUGUAUCCCACUGAAAUCAGGGAGAACGCGUGUGAUUCGAAAAGUACUUUGUUGUAGCUGCAAUAGUGCCCACAAUAUUGCUGCCUGCCACCCCAAUCUCUGAGAGGCCAGGGGUUCCAGGCUCUCACCCAGAGCCCAUGUUUCCUUUUGGAAAUGAGGUGCGUCGGAGACUGCGGUCUUUUUAGAAUAUAUAGUUUAUUGGCACAUGGAGGGGCUCCCAGCAUUCAGUCCUCCUUGGGUCUUGCGUCCUCCACAGACGCUUCCCAGUCACAGAACUCCCUGCGCUCAGCUUCUGGCCCACAUUGCUUUUCUUCCUCCUUCUCUCACCUAAGCUCGCAAUAUAGCAUCUUUGUGCACCUUUUAGCUGGCGAAUCGCAACACAAAAUUCAGAGAAGUGCACAUUUUGAAGAAUAGCUGUAUUUCCAUUCACUUAUUGGUCUGUGAAGUAUGAACUGAAUCGGUUCACAUUAAAAGACAAACUGAAUGACUUCCUCUUGCAUGCCUAGUCUGACAAUCUUUUAAUUUCAAGUGCUUAAUAUGGUCAUGAACAUGUGAUUGAACAGCUUUUGAAUCAUAGAAUCACAGAGUUGGAAGAGACCACAAGGGCCAUUGAGUCCAACCCCCUGCCAAGCAGGAAACACCACCAGAGCACUCCUGACAUACGGUUGUCAAGCCUCUGCUUAAAGACCUCCAAAGAAGGAGACUCCACCACACUCCUUGGCAGCAAAUUCCACUGUCAAACAGCUCUUACUGUCAGGAAGUUCUUCCUAACAGUAAGAGCUGUUCGACAGUUUUUGAAAAUGAGGGAAACCUACAGUUUGGGCCUCAAACCCCGAUAUCCACUUAGAUGCUCUUAAAGAAACAGAUCCUCACUAUUUUGUUCCUCUCUGUAUUUUUGUUUCUUUUAGAUGCUGCAUUUUUCUCAUCAAUAAAACCACCUGGGGGAAAAAGAUUUCAUACAUGCUUAUAGAUCUUGAGGGUUCACCCUCUUCACAGCGUCCUUUCAUCCCUUUUCUAGGGCGAGAGAAUGCAUAUUUACAGAGUGGGGUCAUUCCAACCAAGCCUUUUUAGUAAAUAGAUACUAGUUUGUCCAGAAAUGUUACCUAGGGUAUCUAGGCUCUUUGUCCUUCGAUUUAAUUUUCCCUGAAGCAGAGCCGUUUAUUAGUGCUGUUUAACACAGUGGAGAAAGUUUCAGCAGCGAGGGAAAGGAAGGCAGGAGGAGGCCAUUUUCUCUCCUCUCUUCUCGUCCGCUUUCACCCCUGGGAGCCCGGCGUAGUGAGGCCAGGCUGGCUGCAGUCCUGCUCCAGAAUGGAAGGAGGAGAAAGGAGAAAGCCAGAGAACACCAAUUCCCAAAGCGCCAAAAGGGUUUAUGAAGCACAACGUGUUUGGGAAUUGAGGAAUUCCUUCAACGAUGGCAACCUAGAAAAACAUAAAAAUGGAUACAGCCGCAAAGUCCUCCACAGAUUUCUAAUUACUUUAUUCCAUAUUGAGGAAGCCUCAGUGUAAAUUAUUCCCAUCUGCCGCUGGGGAUAGCACAGUUACAAUGCUCCAUGAUUUUCUAUACUCAGAAUGUGCUGCUUGGAUUUAAAAUAUUAAAUCAAGCCAUUUUGGCUUUUAGCCUGGUUUAUGAAGUCUCUUGGCUUUUUUCUUAAUUUUGCACAGGGUAAAGGCCUCCCUGCCACUCCCCCCCAAUGCCCCUUGACUGACAAUAAGGAAGCCAUGCUGAUGUUAACAGCGGGGGGGGGGGGGGAGGCAGAGUACCAAAAAAACACUUCACUUGCUGUAACGCAGCAGUCAUGUGAAGACCUCACAGUUGUCUCAUCCUCUCCAGCGGAUCAUGUGCAAAGCUGCUGCUUCCCCUCCUGGGUCCUGGAGAGCCGGGGGGGGGGCGCCAGCAGUACAAUUCUCCUCACACGUGCCUGUAGGACAACCUCAAAAUAUAGACAUCAAGAAAUGGUGCCGCUGUUGGUGACUACCUGCAGCUGACUCUGUCAUUUCCAUUCCAGCAACUUGUAGAAUGCCUCAGGCUAAAACACUGCUUGUAACCUGAAAUUUCUAUUUUAUUAACCUUCUUCUUUAUCUAAUAGUAGUCUGUCAUGUUCUGGGAGGGCAGAACAAUGCUCACCUGAUAAGAUGUCUCCUGGGAAUGCAAGCAGUUCAGAGAAAUGGAAGCAUGCAAAAAUUGUGCCUCCUUCAGCACAAAUGCAAAAAUACUCUUCUGAAAUACAGUGUACUCCUGUGCCCUCAGAUGUUGUUCUUCCUUUUUAUUAAAAAGUGUGUCAGAUGUGGAGAACUGGUCCCUGGUAGACUCUGUUAGCACACGACGUCACUUCUGAACUGGUCCGGUAAGUAAUUUGGACUUAAAAAUUAUGGAUGUUUUGGGAAGGUCAAUAUAGAAAUGUGUGUAUGGAAGUCAAAUAUAGGCAUUCCCAUGUGGCAGCUACAUGUGCUGCCAGUUUUGGACUAACAUUGUUUUACCCAAACGGCUAGAAAAGUAGUUCUAUUUUUUACCAAAGCAGCUUGUGUCAAAAGCGCAACUUGGCCAGGCCGACUCCACACGGAACAGGUAUGGGUUGAUGGCGCAUGUGAAUUGCAUGUAUGGGAUGCGGUACAGAUAUGAACUCAUCCAAACCCUAAAUGGAGAAGUAUUCCAGUGCAUCUGCUUCACUGCUAUUUGUGAGUUAAAGGCAUGCUAUGUUGAAGAAAUACAGCACUACUAAUUGCAGCUCUGUGUACUGUAUUUAAUUGGAACUGAAGAUGGUGUUGUGUAUUUGCUGUGCACACUUUCUGCACGUUGUUUUAUACAUGACACAUUCUCUGACCAAGGCAAUUAAUCCGCACAAGAGAGUUACAAAAGGGAGUGCCAUAUCUUUCAAAGGACUACACUGUGGCCUCUUUUCCACUUUGCUUGAUCGGCAUCCUAGUCUGCCCUGACCACAUAGCAUGGGCAUUUCAUGACUCAGCUGAAUUAAGCACAGAUGCCAUUAAAUAUUUACUUUCUGCAGCAGAAUGCAGCCGUUCAGGGCUAAAAAAAUUCUGCCAGAGAAACAUAAACAGUGCAGGGCUCCCCAAGUUGUAAGUUCCCAGAUGGUGAUGAAUAAGUCAUGUUGUACCUUGGGCCUAAUUGCUCUAAGUUCUCAGAUACUUGCAAAACAUCAAUUAUACAUUACAAGCUCUUCUUCUUAAUGGUUACUUGCCAGCAUUUAAAAAGAAAAGAAAAGAAAAUGUAGUAGAAAAGAGCAUUUGAGAUGCAGGGAAAUGUUCUUUUAACUCUUUGUUAUUUGUUAAAAAAUAGAUUUUGGAAGCAACCCCACUGUAGUUCACAGCCACUGGCCAUGACAAAUUGGAUUUGGGCUUAAAGCAGGGGUCCGCAACCUUUUUCAGCCGUGGGCCGGUCCAUCGUCCCUCAGACCAUGUGGUGGGCUGGGCUAUAUUUUGAAAAAUAAAUGAAUGAAUGAAUUCCUAUGCCCCACAAAUAACCCAGAGAUGCAUUUUAAAUAAAAGCACACAUUCUACUCAUGUAAAAACACGCUGAUUCCUGGACUAUCCGUGGGCUGGAUUGAGAAGGCGACUGGGCCGGAUCCGGCCCCCGGGCCUUAGGUUGCCUCCCCCUGCUCUAGCCCAAGGCAUUCUUGCUCCAGUGCUUGAUCAUGAAUGGCCACAAGUUCCUCCCUUCCCAGCUCCACUAAAACACACGUCUUUAAUGAAUGCUUACAAUGGUGCACUUGCAUAUUGCAUACAUGUGCUGUAUGCACAAUGCAAUGUACACAAAAGAUUGGAGAAGAGAUAAAAUAGUCAUUCUUUGUGAAAUAAAUAGCAAAAUAUGUGAAGUGCCCCCCUGCCAAGUUGGCCAAGUAGAUGAUAAGUUGCUGUAGGUGCAAAUGGUUUCUAAAGAGAGUAGAAGGGGCGGUACUUUCCUGAGCAUCCUGCCUCUUGUUUUGCCAACCACAGAACCACACGGCUCCAUACCCACCUGAUCGGGGGGGGGGGGCUGAUCAGCUGAAGUCUGCAGCACCUAAAGCAUGCCAUGGUUCCUGCUUUGGCAGCAAAAUGCUACCUGUCGAGCCCAGGAGGUCUGUGGUGGGAUUCAUUGCCUGCUUUGGAGUAGAAGCCAGAUGGCAGCCCUUCCACAGGGCCCAAGUCCUGCAGCAAAGGGGAGCCCCAAGGCCCGGAGAAGAGGUGCCAUGGGCAAUCUUCCCACUCCCCCACCCAUUCCCAGGCCACAGAUCCCCAGUAUUUGGUUAUUUGUUUUUACUUAGCAUAUUUAUUAUUUACCCCUUAACAAAGGUCCCAUGGUAGAUUAUUGCAUGAUCAAAACAGUGGAAUACCACAGGCAGUAAACAAUUGAAAUCAACCAAUAAAAGCCUGUUACCAUGCCUGUCUCAUUAACUUUGGGAACUGACCAGACAAAUUGCUCCACCAGCUAAGAAGGGCCAUGUGCCACCCCCCACUGAAUUGAAACAGUGACCCAUCUGUCAUAGUACCUUUCCGUGCCCAUACCUGGCAAGGUUUCCCACAUUACGCACAGCCAUAAAGCCCACAAGUGAGUAGCCGCCCCUGUGGAGUUUAUCUUACAUCCUACUCCUUGGCCUGUGACCCAGUCUCAUGGUGAAUGAGUGACCAGAGGUCAGGAGGAUGGAGCUUUGUAGUCUCACCCCAAGCUUCGUUGCAAAAUCUCAUAACAGAGCCAAAAUCCCAGCGCUCACAAAAUUUCACUGCCCACCAUCUUGUGAUGGCUGGGACCUCCUGACCUUCAAGACUAGCACCCAGAAGGCUCCCUGACUCUUCCCUGGACUGUCACAUCUCUUUCACUUCUGUACAGCACAGUCUGGAUAUUUUGGGGGGGGGGGGAGUGGAGGGCUUUUUGCAUUAAAUGAUCACCAAGGGGGGUUCUUUUCACAGGUCACUGACAGGUUCAUAAAAGGGAUUUAUCUAAUUCUCAUUCUAUUUAUACACAUGUAGUUUUUGUGAUGAAUUUUGCUGAGCUUUAGUUUCAAAGCAAUUUAUUACUGUUUCAUACUGAAACAGAGGAGGGAUAAUGAAGAUAAACUAGUGUUUCUAUUCAAAGGCUAUUUAGUCUGUUUUAGUAACAUAAAUUUCCUAUCUUUUUUUUUAAGAAAAAGACACCCAACUUUUCAAUCAGUUUUACAAGGACCAGGACUGCCAUUUGCCUUGCCUUCCCAAACAAGAAUAAAUGUACCUCUUUGGCCUAGUCCUACAGAACAGAACAAUAGCAUGAGUAGAUUUAAUUGCAGAUCUAAAAAUGGUUUGCCAGCUGCUGCCACUGACAACUGUUUCAGCUUGUGCCCUCUUUAAUUAGCAUGUAAUGAGCAAGCAGACAUGUUCAGACUGCAAAGAAACAUUGGUGAUCUGUAGAAUGAUGGUUAUGAUGCAGAAACAUUGGCUAUCCCAAUGGAGGGAUUUUUUACUGUGACCUGAUAGAACAAUAAUGAUGACAACAACAACUAUUGUUAAUUUCAUUAAUUUAUGAGUUUCUUCUCACAAAGGAGUCUCCAAGCAAUUUACAGCCAAAUAAAAUGCAAUACAUAACAAUAUAUCCAUUAAAAUACAAAUGGUUUAAAUAUAAAUGUUCAUUUAUAAUGAAUAAAGAUAGAAUUUUAAAAAACCACCCCACCCCAACAGAAAAUCAAUACUGAAAAGGCUGUUCUCACACUGUUACCUUCCAAACUUCUUUUAAAGGUGGCAUGCAGAAACUAGCCCCAGGUGACUAUUGUAGUGUCCAGGUUGUGUCCAGUUCUGGGCGCCACAAUUUAGGAAGGAUGUUGGCAAGCUGGAACGUGAGCAGACAAGGGCAACCAAGAUGAUCAAGGGUCUGGAAACCAAGCCUUUUUUAAAAAAAUCUUUUUUUCAAUACAAACAACAACCC